AGUGAACGCUGGCGGUAGGCCUAACACAUGCAAGUCGAACGGCAGCACAGUAAGAGCUUGCUCUUACGGGUGGCGAGUGGCGGACGGGUGAGGACUACAUCGGAAUCUACUUUUUCGUGGGGGCUAACGUAGGGAAACUUACGCUACUACCGCACACGACCUACGGGUGAAAGCAGGGGAUCUUCGGACCUUGCGCGAUUGAAUGAGCCGAUGUCGGAUUAGCUAGUUGGCGGGGUAAAGGCCCACCAAGGCGACGAUCCGUAGCUGGUCUGAGAGGAUGAUCAGCCACACUGGAACUGAGACACGGUCCAGACUCCUACGGGAGGCAGCAGUGGGGAAUAUUGGACAAUGGGCGCAAGCCUGAUCCAGCCAUGCCGCGUGGGUGAAGAAGGCCUUCGGGUUGUAAAGCCCUUUUGUUGGGAAAGAAAAGCAGCAGGUUAAUACCCCGCGGUUCUGACGGUACCCAAAGAAUAAGCACCGGCUAACUUCGUG
rnacentral:rRNA from 1 species